UACGAGGGGGGCGAGCGUUGUUCGGAAUUAUUGGGCGUAAAGGGUGCGUAGGCGGUUCCGCAAGUCCUGUGUGAAAUCUUCGGGCUCAACUCGAAGUCUGCACGGGAAACUGCGGGGCUUGAGUGUGGGAGAGGUGAGUGGAAUUCCUAGUGUAGAGGUGAAAUUCGUAGAUAUUAGGAAGAACACCAGUGGCGAAGGCGGCUCACUGGCCCGGUACUGACGCUGAGGCGCGAAAGCGUGGGGAGCAAACAGG
rnacentral:rRNA from 1 species